CCGCGCCCCCCCCUAAUCUGUCUCCCCUCAGUGACACCGACGUGCGUGGAAGCGUUGCGGCGAAUUGCAGGCUAUGGGACGACCUUUAUGUGGCUGCGCUGUUGCUGGGUGGCGGCAACCGCGCAGGAUGGCGCGCACCGCGGCGCAGUCCGCAAACGUGCGCCGCACCCCGCGCAACGACGUCGUGUACAGCACCACCGCCUGUGGCCGGGGCGCACGCGGCUCGUCCGCGAGCUGAUGCUGCUGGUGCUGCCGUCGCCACCUGGACGCGGCCGCCGGCCGGUGCCCCGGGUGGUGGUGGUACGUCAGCGACCGCGCCAGCUGGAACGGCCUCUUGCCGCCGCCGCCUCAAUCAUCCAUCUCACGCGCCGACGCAGCAGCAGCGGCCGGCCGCGCCGCCGCGGGAGAAGGCGAAUCGAGGCUGUGGCGGUUAACCGGAGGCGAGGAGAAGGGGGAGAAGGAAGACGAAGAGGAAGCGAGCUGGGCAAGCAAUCGACGCAAGAAGAUCAGAAGGUGGGGGCACCAGAGCCGCACUUUAUAUGAUUUCUUGUGGUGGUGGAGAUUUUGACGACUUUCUUGAUGCGUUUUUUCUUGGUCUUCGCUCUUUUGGUACGGUAAUUAGCAAAUUUAUUAGGAGAUGGUUAAAUGCUAUUUAUUAGUACUAUUAUAUACUAGAAGUAGAAAUGAUUUGUCUUAUGAAUGGUUUGCUGAUUGGGAGCUUGGAGGCUGUUUAGAGUUGUACUGGCAGUGACUAACAACCUUCUUCUGCUUGUGUUGCUUAAUUUUGAAGAAAUCUUUCGGUUUGAAGCCCGGUUCAGCGAAGUUUGGAAAUUACUACUAAUCCUUACAAAUUUCUCAAAGGAGGUUUGGUUUAAUUCAGCUCUUUUCGUUCAAGCUCGUGCAACAGGAUGUUUGAUCCAUAUACAAUUUGUUGGCGAGGUAAUUGUUACUUGCUUUAGUCUAUUAUCCAUUCCCGGUAUUGGUAUACUACAUGAUUCGUGCUAGGUACAAUUUUAUUGUGUACACUCAGUUCAAGUAUUGGGUGCGCUCCUGUCUUUGCUUCAUUUUAAAAGUACAAUAUCUGCAUUUACCCUUUUGAAUCGGUUUUACCGAUAAGGAAAUGUUUGUCGUUUUAUUUCAAUCUGCUUCCUGAGCUCUUCUCCCUAGCAUUACAAGAGAAUAAUGUUAUCAGUUGAAGUGACUGCUGUGCAGUGCAGGUGCCCCUUUCAGUUCUUAAGGGAAAAAAAUUAGCCAAAACUGUUCUAGUAUUGAAUGAAUAAUGAUUUCAGUCCAUUCUGUGGCCAUAUUACCUGUUUAGUACAGAUGAUGGAAGCAGCAGAAUGGUCAGCAAGGUAAGAUCUGUCUUCACGGAGAUCUGCAGUGGCAGAUAUGCCUGGAUAAAUACAUAACUAUUGUGCUUGCAAUAUUUAGGCCAUGCCAGCAUCAACCUUAAUUACCUAGUUUGGUUCCAACAAGAACUACAGGAACAAUAGGUGAAAAUCGGCGAAGCUCUGGCAUCCACUGUACAGACGGGUCCUGACUCCUGAUGAAGCAGCCGAAGUUGGACUUGGUUGAGGACUUGAGUAGUACAUACUACAGAGAAGCUGCAGAUGCUGGUGCUGUUGGAAUUUCUGUUUACUAGAGGCUGUUUACUAGGGGUAUUUAAUCUACGGAAUAAAUGACAGAUUACCAUGUUUAACAGAUUUUUUUAGAAAAUCUAAAAGGAGCUGUUGGAUUACAGAUUUUCUUUAAAGGACAAAAGCUCUCAGGGUAUAUAUAUGAGCUGUUGGAAACGCUCUAAACACCUUAUCCUUUCUAAAAUCUACCUUUCAAAUCUGGUGCAUGGUCAA